UUGACAGAACUCAAAACACAGGUAGUAAAUGUCCAAACAUGCAGAAACAGAAUAAUACUCUAAAACUUCAAAAAUUAACCAGAGUAAGAAUAGAACAUCUUAAGCCCACAAAAGCAAUCAUUCUUCCUCCUCCCCUUCAUUGUCAGCAAUGUUGAAGUAUCGCAUCUCGUACACAUUGCGAUCCUUGUUUGAUGCAAUCACCCUCAGCCAAUCACGCACAUUAUGUUUCUUCAGGUACUUUUUCGCCAAGUACUUCAAAUAUCUCUUGGAGAAGGGGCCGUCGGAGGUGACGGUGAUCUUGCUCUUGUCACGGGUAAUCGUGACGGCGUCGCCGAAGGCGCCGGCCUUGCCGCCGCCGACCUUGAUCCGCUCCUGGAGGAACUUCUCGAGGGAAGCGAUGUCCAUGAUCUUGUCCUCCACGGGCUUCCCGCAGUCGAUCACGAACGUCGAGCCCUUCUUCUUCGCUCCCUUCCCUCCCGCGGCUCCCUUCACUCCCGCGGCUCCAGCGCUUCGGCUCAUUGUUCCUGCACCGCCGCCGCUCUCG
rnacentral:misc_RNA from 1 species